GACGAACCUUGCUACCGUUAUUCGGAAUUACUGGGCUUAAAGGGUGCGUAGGCGGCGCGGUAAGUCGGGUGUGAAAUCUCGGAGCUUAACUCCGAAACUGCAUUCGAUACUGCCGUGCUUGAGGACUGGAGAGGAGACUGGAAUUUACGGUGUAGCGGUGAAAUGCGUAGAUAUCGUAAGGAAGACCAGUGGCGAAGGCGGGUCUCUGGACAGUUCCUGACGCUGAGGCACGAAGGUCAGGGGAGCAAACGGG
rnacentral:rRNA from 1 species